AUGUGGAAAAUAAUAAUAUACCAAAACCUUUUUCUUUGCUAUCGAAACAUACAAUUAAGGCACCAGAGGCUUGGGUUCUUUAAAAGAUGAACAAAUAAAAAUAAGUGUUUAUUUAUAAGA